rnacentral:rRNA from 1 species
AUUGAACGCUGGCGGCAGGCCUAACACAUGCAAGUCGAACGAGUGGCGGACGGGUGAGUAAUGUCUGGGAAACUGCCUGGUGGAGGGGGAUAACUACUGGAAACGGUAGCUAAUACCGCAUACCAUCAGAUGUGCCCAACUGGGAUUAGCUUGUUGGUGGGGUAACGGCUCACCAAGGCGACGAUCCCUAGCUGGUCUGAGAGGAUGACCAGCCAACAGGGAACUGAUGCACGGUCCAGACUCCUGAGGGAAGCAUCAUUGGGGGAUAUUGCACAAUGGGCGGAAACCUGAUGCAGCCAUGCCGCGUGUAUGAAGAAGGCCCUCGGGUUGUAAAAUACUUUCAGCGGGGAGGCGUUACCCGGAGAAGGAGCACCGGCUAACUCCGUGCCAGCAGCCGCGGUAAUAC